rnacentral:rRNA from 1 species
UGGGGAAUAUUGCACAAUGGGGGGAACCCUGAUGCAGCCAUGCCGCGUGAAUGAAGAAGGCCUUCGGGUUGUAAAGUUCUUUCGGUGACGAGGAAGGUUGGUAGGUUAAUAGCCUAUCAAAUUGACGUUAAUCACAGAAGAAGCACCGGCUAACUCCGUGCCAGCAGCCGCGGUAAUACGGGGGGUGCGAGCGUUAAUCGGAAUAACUGGGCGUAAAGGGCACGCAGGCGGUGACUUAAGUGAGAUGUGAAAGCCCCGAGCUUAACUUGGGAAUUGCAUUUCAUACUGGGUCGCUAGAGUACUUUAGGGAGGGGUAGAAUUCCACGUGUAGCGGUGAAAUGCGUAGAGAUGUGGAGGGAUACCGAAGGCGAAGGCAGCCCCUUGGGAAUGUACUGACGCUCAUGUGCGAAAGCGUGGGGAGCAAACAGGAUUAGAUACCCUGGUAGUCCACGCUGUAAACGAUGUCGAUUUGGGGAUUGGGCUUUGAGCUUGGUGCCCGUAGCUAACGUGAUAAAUCGACCGCCUGGGGAGUACGGCCGCAAGGUUA